rnacentral:rRNA from 1 species
CCUACGGGGGGCUGCAGUGAGGAAUAUUGGUCAAUGGACGAGAGUCUGAACCAGCCAAGUAGCGUGAAGGAUGACUGCCCUAUGGGUUGUAAACUUCUUUUAUAUGGGAAUAGAAUGUUCCACGUGUGGGAUUUUGUAUGUACCAUAUGAAUAAGGAUCGGCUAACUCCGUGCCAGCAGCCGCGGUAAUACGGAGGAUCCGAGCGUUAUCCGGAUUUAUUGGGUUUAAAGGGAGCGUAGGUGGAUUGUUAAGUCAGUUGUGAAAGUUUGCGGCUCAACCGUAAAAUUGCAGUUGAAACUGGCAGUCUUGAGUACAGUAGAGGUGGGCGGAAUUCGUGGUGUAGCGGUGAAAUGCUUAGAUAUCACGAAGAACUCCGAUUGCGAAGGCAGUUCACUGGACUGCAACUGACACUGAGGCUCGAAAGUGUGGGUAUCAAACAGGAUUAGAUACCCUUGUAGUC